GAUGAACGCUGGCGGCGUGCCUAAUACAUGCAAGUCGAGCGAAUGGAUUAAGAGCUUGCUCUUAUGAAGUUAGCGGCGGACGGGUGAGUAACACGUGGGUAACCUGCCCAUAAGACUGGGAUAACUCCGGGAAAACGGGGCUAAUACCGGAUAACAUUUUGAACCGCAUGGUUCGAAAUUGAAAGGCGGCUUCGGCUGUCACUUAUGGAUGGACCCGCGUCGCAUUAGCUAGUUGGUGAGGUAACGGCCCACAAAGGCAACGAUGCGUAGCCGACCUGAGAGGUUGAUCGGCCACACUGGGACUGAGAAACGGCCCAGACUCCUACGGGAGGCAGCAGUAGGGAAUCUUCCGCAAUGGACGAAAGUCUGACGGAGCAACGCCGCGUGAGUGAUGAAGGCUUUCGGGUCGUAAAACUCUGUUGUUAGGGAAGAACAAGUGCUAGUUGAAUAAGCUGGCACCUUGACGGUACCUAACCAGAAAGCCACGGCUAACUACGUGCCAGCCGCCGCCGUAA
rnacentral:rRNA from 1 species